CCCUUAGAUGUCCUGGGCUGCACGCGCGCUACACUGAUGUGUCCAGUAAGCACCUAACCUCUUCCGAAAGGAACGGGUAACCUUUGCAAAGCACAUCGUGAUGGGGAUAGAUUAUUGCAAUUAUUAGUCUUGAACGAGGAAUUCCUAGUAAGCACAAGUCAUCAGCUUGUGUCGAUUACGUCCCUGCCCUUUGUACACACCGCCCGUCGCUCCUACCGAUUGAAUGUUCCGGUGAGCUCUUCGGACUGCGCGGUCUGCAGUUUCUGCGUUCCGUGCGGAAAGUUGCGCAAACCUUAACAUUUAGAGGAAGGAGAAGUCGUAACA
rnacentral:rRNA from 1 species